rnacentral:rRNA from 1 species
CCUACGGGUGGCAGCAGUGAGGAAUAUUGGUCAAUGGACGAGAGCCUGAACCAGCCAAGUAGCGUGAAGGAUGACUGCCCUAUGGGUUGUAAACUUCUUUUAUAAAGGAAUAAAACGAGGCACGUGUGCCUUUUUGCAUGUACUUUAUGAAUAAGGAUCGGCUAACUCCGUGCCAGCAGCCGCGGUAAUACGGAGGAUCCGAGCGUUAUCCGGAUUUAUUGGGUUUAAAGGGAGCGUAGAUGGGUUGUUAAGUCAGUUGUGAAAGUUUGCGGCUCAACCGUAAAAUUGCAAUUGAUACUGGCAGGCUUGAGUACAGUUGAGGUAGGCGGAAUUCGUGGUGUAGCGGUGAAAUGCUUAGAUAUCACGAAGAACCCCGAUUGCGAAGGCAGCUUACUAAACUGUGACUGACAUUGAGGCUCGAAAGUGUGGGUAUCAAACAGGAUUAGAUACCCCAGUAGUC